rnacentral:rRNA from 1 species
AUUGAACGCUGGCGGCAGGCUUAACACAUGCAAGUCGAGCGGGGGAAGGUAGCUUGCUACCGGACCUAGCGGCGGACGGGUGAGUAAUGCUUAGGAAUCUGCCUAUUAGUGGGGGACAACAUCUCGAAAGGGAUGCUAAUACCGCAUACGUCCUACGGGAGAAAGCAGGGGAUCUUCGGACCUUGCGCUAAUAGAUGAGCCUAAGUCGGAUUAGCUAGUUGGUGGGGUAAAGGCCUACCAAGGCGACGAUCUGUAGCGGGUCUGAGAGGAUGAUCCGCCACGCUGGGACUGAGACACGGCCCAGACUCCUACGGGAGGCAGCAGUGGGGAAUAUUGGAAAAGGGGAGGAACCCUGAUCCAGCCAUGCCGCGUGUGUGAAGAAGGCCUUAUGGUUGUAAAGCACUUUAAUCGAGGAGGAGGCUACUUUAGUUAAUACCUAGAGAUAGUGGACGUUACUCGCAGAAUAAGCACCGGCUAACUCUGUGCCAGCCGCCGCAGUAA